UAGUGCCGGAGUCGAUGAUCGUGCCACGGGACGAGAAAACCGAUGGCGAAAUGGCCAGUUGCUGCCCACCGACGCUGAUUCCGAUCAGGUCAACGAAGUAAAAGCUUGGAUGAUUGGAGCUGGUCUGCAUUCGAGUGUAAACGGUGUUGGAGGCAUCACCAGGUUCGCCCAGUUUCAGGAACCCGGUGGAGCUGGGAGUCGAAGGAAGGCAGUAGGAGAAGACCGAGUGGUAAACUUGCGACGUUUGGGACACCAGAGAGCGCUUGCCGCGGCCGAGACCCACGAGCCCUGCGGUGUCUUGGAACAGCCCUUCGUUGUCGGUGCCGCACCCGAAGAGGAAGUCCUCGAUCACGUCGUUUGGCGACAGCGUCAGUCUGUCGUAGCUGUAGACUCCUGAAGUGGUCGACCCAUCGCCGUAGGUGAUGCCAUAAGCGCAAGAGCUGGAGCAGCUGCUUCGGAGCUGACUGCAGUCCUGCGAGUUGCAAGGGAUCGCGGUGUAGGAGGAUGAUUGGGAUGGGUCAAAGAUCGGCUCCUGCUGCGAGUAGCACGCGGAGCAUGGUUUGCAUUGGAUCCAACUCAGGUCGCUCCCGGUGUCCAUCGUCACAGUCUGCUCUCGGCUGGGGGUGCCAUAGCCGACUGUGAUCACGUACUCCCCUCCUCCGUACUCCGCGGGGAUGCUUGCCUUGGAAUCAUCGACCUGUGGCUUGGCGGAAGACUUCAAGGCACUUCGCCGGAGAUAGUUGACUCUAAGUUGGUCUUUCAGAAGAAUCUCUUCUAGCGAUAGCAGUUUCUUGUCGUCGAAGGGGGAGCAGGGUCCAUGCCGAUGCACCAACGGGAAGGCGGUGAAGUUAGAUCCUGAGAAAGGCGAAACUAUCUUUUAAGGAAACUGUAUCAAAUGGUUUCAGCAAUUCAUGGGUAGCGGAGUAUGAGAUCUGCAGCCCAAAGAAAAGAUUGAUGCAAGAGAGCAACUGAGGUAUGACUGACCCUUGGACGAGGAGCAGACAACUUCGGGACUAGAAUUAUGAUUUCGAACCACGUGGUAGCUCUGAGCGUCUUCUCCGUUAGCAAGGGAAGAACAGUGACUCAGGAACAGAACAGAAGAGCAGAUUAAGAGAGCAGCCGAAGCCAUUUGCUGGGAAGAGACAAGCCCUGGGCGAAGGAUUGCAAUGGCAAUGCAUCCAAUUUAUAGAGACUUCAAAACCACUUUCUUUGUUCCACCAGAUUGGCCUCUGAUUUGAGUCAAGUAUGUCGACUAGUCGUUGACUUCAUAUUGACUGGCAUCGUCAAGUUCUUCCACACAAUCACGGAGCAAUUUAGGCUUAGUUUCGCAUUCCCACUGCAAAAUCCACGAAAUAAUUUGGUUUACGUCACAACGAUGAGAUCUAAAGGAAGACUUCGAACAGUUCAAAGUCGAAUAAUUAGAGCCACAACUCGAGUGCAAGACCGGAGAGAAGACUUUCAACAGUUCAACAUCUUGGUGUGAUUUCUUCACCGACCAAUCCUGACCGGCUCAUAAAUCGUCAACUAAUAACAACAACAACUAAAUGCUUCCUUAUGGCUGUUCUACGAGUCACCCAGGCGAGUGGAUCGGGAGCUAUUCGAGAGGGAAUUACACGGUAUACUUCCAUGUCCGCACGAACCAAAGUGCGCAAGAACAUGGACUCGUACUUCUGAAACCUGCAAUGAUAGAUCGAUAGCUCCGAUACUGUAUGUGAUGAACGGAUUGCACUAUGAGAAUAACUUCAGCUGGUCUGGUGUUGAAUCAAUGGUUGACAGCAGCAGAGGCUAAUCAAAAGAAGAAGACGAAGAGGAGGUACAGGCAGGGUAGGUGGCCGUGAAAGAGACACACUCCCAAAUGAUUGCGAAGGACAAGCUACUCCAAGUGACAUUAAAGAACUCGGCAACCAUGGCGUUUUCCAAUUAAUCAUGGACCAAUUUAGCUUUAUUUGGAGAGUAAAAUAGGAUGGAAAGUUAUCAGACUUGUAGAUCUUUAUGCAGACUAGAUGAGUUUAUUAUUAGUAACAUAUAUUUUCUACUCAUAUUAAGAUCUAUCAAAGUUGCAGAUGAUGUGAUUUAUAAGGAAAACAAUAUCACAACAGUUAUCCCUUUUAUUAAAAUUAUCACAAGUACAAGUUUGAAUUAUGAAUUAGACAUGAAUUUGCUAUUAGAUUUAAGCUUCCCAUACAUUUUCUGUUAUUUUUUUUUUAUCAAAUAUACUUUUCCUAUGAUUAAGAAUAAUCUACAGUAAAUUAAAUUAAAUGUGCCUCGAACAUCUAAUUAUAGAAUUAUAGCACGUCAGUCACAUCCCCUAGCUUUUCUCCAUCGUCUUCCUCCUUUCGAUGUGAUGACUAAAUAGGCAAUCGUUCAUUACACAAUAAAUUGUGGGUUGGAUUCGUCGUGGAAGGACCCUCGUGAUUUUUUAUUAUAUACGAAGAAAAAUACUGUUAGAUUAAUUAAUCUGAGCUCUAACUUAUACUUCCAAAACAUAAUUCCAAACACAUAAUUAACGAAGAAAAGAGACACACGUACAGAAGAAAAGGGAGGUGGAUGCUGAAAUAGAACGAUAGACAAUUCUGGUGAAGGUAAUAGAGGUUGACUGCCAGCUGCAGGUGCAUGCUAUAUAUCCUUAUUCCUCAUGCUAUUGAUUUAUUUAUAUUUAUAUAUAUGCAUGAGGUGAUACUGAUCAGCUGCAAGCGUGCGGCGCGAAUCCAAUUCUCUCAUUUCCUACAUCGUAGACUACUUCAAAUGUUCGCUGCUGCACAUUGCCAAUGAUCCCCAAGCGAUCAACUUGCUUACCAGAAAAUGCCAAGCAGUCAUGCCUGAGGAUCCCAGAUACGUUGAGAUCCAGUGUGACUCCAUCGAAGUGCAGCGCUACUUUGGGGACUGUUAUGGUCUUGUAGCCACUGAAGUCAUAACAGGUAUCAAGCAGUCCGUUAGUAGGCUUAAGAGGGUACGCCGACAUGUGCUCCCGGAACGCCGACCUCAGGGCCUCGUAGGCCGACGGCGGGAGGCGAGUGAUCGUAGUGCCGGAGUCCAAUAUCGUGCCACCGGACCUAAAAACCGAUGGCGAAAUGGCGAGCUGCUCCCCGGCCACGCUGAUUCCGAUCAGGUCAACGAAGUAAAAGCUUGGAUACUUGGAGCUGGUCUGCAUUCGAGUGUAAACGGUGUUGGAGGCGUCACUAGGUUCGCCCAGUUUUAGGAACCCCAUGUUGCUGGAAGUCGAAGGAAGGCAGUAGGAGAAGACCGAGUGGUAAAGUUGCGACGUCUGAGACACAAGCGACUGCUUGCCACGGCCGAGACCCACGAGCCCUGCGGCGUCGUGGAACAGCCCUUCGUUGUCGGUGCCGCACCCGAAGAGGAAGUGCUCGAUCACGUCGUUUGGCGACAGCGUCAGUCUGUCGUAGCUGUAGACUCCUGAACUGUUCGACCCAUCGCCGUAGGGGAUGAAAUAAGCGCAAGAGCUGGAGCAGCUGCCUCGGGGCUGACUGCAUUCCGACGAGUUGCAAGGGAUCGCGGCGUAGGAGGAUGAUUGGGAUGGGUCAAAGAUCGGCUCCUGCUGCGAGUAGCAUUUGUUGCAUGGUUUGCAUUGGAUCCAACUCAGGUCGCUCCCGGUGUCCAUCGUCACAGUCUGCUCUCGGCUGGGGGUGCCAUAGCCGACGGUGAUCACGUACUCCCCUCCUCCGAACUCCGCGGGGAUGCUUGCCAAGGAAUCAUUGAGCUGUGACUUCACGACACCCUUUAGGAGAUAAUUUACUCGAAGUUGGUCUUUAAGAAGGAUUUGUUCAGGUGAUGGCAGUUCCUUUGUCUCGAAGGGGGAGCAGGGUCCAUAUCGACUGACCAACCGUAUAGAGGUAACGUUGGAUCCUGAGAACCAUGCAUGCAUGCAUGGAAGUAUAUAUCACCACCAAUAGUCAGUAUUAAUUUUUUGUCUUUUAAGUAAUUUUACGUCAAACAAGUGCAGCAAUUUAUAAGUACAACUUCCAUCUGCUUGCUCGGUAACAUCGUGCUUCCAAUUUACAGCUUAAAGAGAUAGAGAAGGAAGUCUUAGUUAAAACUACAGAUGAUACUUUAUAACAGCAGCGCAAAUAAAACACCAAAAGUAAGAGGCAGCCGAUGUAUGAUUAACCUUUGAGCGGGGAGCAGACUGCUCCGGGAUUCAAAGAACGUCUUUGAACCUUAUGGUAGCUCUGUACUUCUCCAUUGGCAAGGUGAGAACGGUAGCUUAGGAGCAGAAACAGAACACAAGAGCUGGUUAGGAGGGCAGCUGAAGCCAUUAGUUAGCUGGGGAGAUACAAGUCUUGUGCGUAGGAGCUCUGGCUAUGCAUCCAAUUUAUAGAGAACCUUCAAUGCUACCUUCUCUCCUUGAAUCUUCAAAGCGAUGCUUUUGGUUUGGCCUCUGAUUACCACAUGCGAAAUUGAUUUAGAAGGCUGUGGACUAGUCGUUGACGUAGGACCCACUGGCUUAGUCAAGGUCAGAUUGUCCGAUCUUCGCGGAGUCACAUAAAUUUUAUCUCGUAUCCCCGUCGACGUGUGGAAGAUCCAUGGAAAUGAUAAGAUCUCCAGUCAGCUACCAGUCCGAAGCGAUGACUUGCAACGAUCCAAGGUCUUCACGUGGUGAUUUCUUCGGUUACCAGGUCCGAUGUAUCUGCCAGUAAUUAAUUCGUGGACUCAUGGCAUCCGACUGGAGUUAAUUGACAGCAAUCAUAUGGCAUGAUUCGACGUCCACAGGAUCAUUUUCCACUGUGGCUCAUGCGGAACCAGAUUGCAAAGAACAUGUCAUACCUCAGAGCUACUUCGGUCCUCCAACUACUAUGAGAAGAACUUUAGCUGGUUCACUGAUAUGAUAAGUUCUAGGCGCUGAAACAGUUGUGGGCUUAAGGAACCGACACAGGCGAUGUGAUAUUGCUGCACUUCUCUUGUUGGCCAUGUCGGAGGGUAAGGAAAAGAAGAAGAUGAGGAGGAGGAGGAGGAGGAGGAAGCAGGGUAAGACAGGGACGGCGAGGUGGCGAUUUACGAGACAGUCAAGAACUGGAUGAUUGCACCGGACAAAGUACGUCUAUAUCAUAACAGCUAAGAAACAAUGACAUGCGUUCUCGGAUUAAUUAUGGACCAUAUUAUUGAGCAAUAUCUUCUUUUGUUUCGUUUAUCAUCUUUUGCGCUUGACUAUAUCUGUGCAUUACUGAUAGCAAAUGGCCGAAAGCUGCCUGUAUUUAUAUUUCUUUCUUUUUUCGCGUUAGAUAAGGCUCAGGUACAGAAGCUAUGAAGACAAAGGGAAGGAAAAGACUGGUCACAACAAUUCGGUAAUGUAAUGUUUUUGAUAAGAAUACAAGCGAAUAGAUAUGUGUUACGUAUCGGAUUAAGCGUAUCAAAUCGAAUGAUAGAAAUCAAUAAUUUAGUUCAAACCAGCAUCAGACUGUAUAAAAAAAAAAAAGUAAUUUUUUUGAAAAAAAUUCUUCUUUUUUUUUCUGAAAAGGGAUCUCUGUUUUACUUUUUCACAAAAUGAGACUCCCUAAUUCAAAUAAUACUCAAAAUACUCACCGUCAUUGCUAAUGGUAUUUUUCUCAUCAAAUUUGUUUUGUCUAUUUUUUUAUUAGUUUCGAAUCAUUAUAGUGUUUUUAUUUGGCUCAUUUAUAAUAUUUUUCAAUAGCAUUACGGUAUUGUGAUGGUGGCAAUAAUUUUUACCCAUAUUUAGAUGAUGUUGUUAUUCAUAAAUUAUUAUUAUAGUACCUAUUUGAAUUCUAAUAUGAUAUAUUAAAUAAUUUUUAGUAUAUUUUGAUUUUAUUUGACUUGCUUAUAGUAUUUUUUUUACAACAUUAUAGGUUUUAUUAUGAUAUUAAGGAUAUUAUAAAGCUAUUGAAAAAUAUUGUAAGUAACUUCGUAUUAUGUCUCUUUGCUUAUCGUUGCUCAUAGAUUAUUACACUACCAAAUCAUGGAUGCUGAACACAUGCAUAUUUGGAGGUUUUCGAUACGCUGACGAACGAGAAAGAGCAAGGAAGAGGAGGAGGUGGUGGAGGCAACGGCGGCAGGAAAAGCAAGCAAGAGAAGCCAUUACGCUUGCAGAACUCGGUGAUCUGAGCUUGGAACGAGUGAAGGGAGUAGCUCUAAAUAGCUGUGCCUCUGCGCGUUCAAGUUUCAACGGGUGGUACAUCGCUUUCUCCCACUUGUCUUCCUCCUGUGGCCACUCGAGUCCUCUGUGGCGAUUACGUCAUGCGUCAUUGCGCAACAAAUAACGGGUUGGGUCAAGGAAGAGACCCUCGUGAUUCUUUAUGAGAUCCAAUCCACUCACGAGCAGAAAAGGAGGUGUGAUCACAUGCUGGAAGGCACUAAGAAUUAAGCCCGUAUAAUUGACUCCUGACUUGUUGUCAGACACUCUCGAGUCCCGUGGGAAGACCAUCCAAGAAGAGGCCUCAGCUUUGAAUUGGAAUCUUCUUUCUAACUUAGGCCGUGAAGCAAUGGCGACCAACCUUUGAGUUAUUCCAUAGACUAACAACUUUGUGGCUAUUUGUUUAGUAUUGGAUUAAUGGACUGAACUCAAUCGUUCCUCGCCCAAAAGAACCAUUGGCUAAUGUUACUUGAUAUGAAGGAUCCAAAGCAACCACCAAGAAAAGAAUGUCGAAAGAAGAACCACAAAGCAUUUGAGAACAAUCAUGAUCUCAAGGUGGCCUAUCACUUUCUUCUUCCUUCUUUCCUGCUAUUUCUUCUGAUAUAAUCAUGUGGAAAGACAUAAUAUAAUCCAUCUCUAAGCAGUGUGGCUCCCUGUGGAAAGACAUAAUCUAAUCCAUCUCUAAGCAGUGUGGCUCCCUGCGACAGGCUCUCUUACGUUCAUGCGUUUCUGGCUGACAUAAGUCUACGGAGACAUGAUGUUGCAGAGGUUGCAUAAUCCACCGCACCUCUCCAACAUUUCACAUGGCAAGCCCCGUUCCGUUUGUCAUGUCCUUGCUAAGCUUUUGGAAUGUUGCAGAAAACGAGCCAUGGGGUUCGUGCAAUGCUUCUCAAAUUGGAACAGUGGUGAGAAAUCUGCGGUGGCUCAGUCACUGUCGGUCGAUAGACCAUGAAAUGUUUGAAGGACUCGUAAUUCUUCCUGCAUGUGUUUAAUUUCUCCUCGGGAUAAGCCAAGCACUUGAAAAACCAUCUCCAAUGCAUAAGCUAGAUUAAGCAUCUCAUGUGGAGAUCAGGAUACCUGCAGUUUAAGGAGUGCUAAUAUCACAGACUAUACAAAUCACCCAGCUUGUGUACUAGACAUUGUCUUUCUUCUCCGAUGAGUGGUCAGACUUCCACUUCAAGUGUUGGAAGAUGUAGCCAGGGCACUUGCAAAUAACAAGUCGGGUGGUUCUUGAUGUGGAUGGUUGGAGAUGGCAUUCUCGAGGGUUGUCGAAGGAUGCAAUUUGCAUUUCGACAUGGAACAGUGAAGAUAAUGUGCUUCCUCUGGUUCAGUGGUGCCAGUGCCUCAGCUACUAGCUUUGUUGCUUGCUCAUGCCAAGAUAAGUGGGAGGAGUAGAAAAUUAGAACCAUUCAACAAAGGAGAUGAUUCUUGCAACACCACAUUUGAAGCAUGGUCAUCAUGCAUCAACCUGUGUAGUAGGUGGUGUUCUAACAUUUGCACCCCAAAAAGAAGGGUUUGACCAAUGUGCAUUGGCUGUUGCUUCAACCUCUGUUCAGAAGCAGAAAGUGUUGUGCUAGCCAUCAUUAUUAAAGAUUAUGGAUGGUAGCAUCAACCCUUUUUUGUCAGUUACAGAGAUGACUGAAUCACUAAUGCUCAGAGACUCCAGCAUGGCUGGCCAUAUGUCCAGCAAGAAAACUAUGGAGAUCAACCCAGAGAAUCCUAUCAUGGAGGAGUUGAGGAAGCGAGCAGAUGCUGACAAGAAUGACAAAUCAGUUAAGGACCUGACACUUCUGCUGUUUGAGACUGCUCUCCUCACCUCUGGUUUCUGCUUGAAUGACCCCAAUACUAUUGGCAACAGGAUCCACCGAAUGCUGAAAUUAGGUCUCAGCAUCGAUGAGGAUGAAAAGGUUGAAGACACUGACAUGCCUACGCUUGAGGAUGCUGCUGAUGCCGAAGAGAGUAAGAUGGAGGAAAUGGACUAAUCUGGAUCAAGUUGGCUUUCUGUAUUCUGCUGCUUCUCUUGCAAUUUUUUGGUGUGCUUUUCAUAUAUGCACUAACUAUGUAGACGGCCUUCAUCACCUUUUGCCAAAGAGAUCUUUAUAACUGUUGUCUAUGCAUGCAUGGAUAAUUCAUGUUCUAUGUUAACAAGUCUAUGGUUUGAAUGUCGAUUUAGCAUGGUUGACAUUUCAUUUUUAUAGUCCUGUCUUGUGGCAAGAAGCUGCAUGAAAACAGAAUCAUGUCUAAGUUUGUCUUGAUAGUAAAUGCCAUGUUCCAGAGUAAGAUUUUGCUUUCAUUAAUUCGAGUUCGAUCGAUCAUGGAGCAUUUGGUUAUCGGAGUUCUAGAUGUUUUGCUUUGAUCAUUAGCUACGCAAUGGAAGUCAUGUGUGAAUUGUGAUGAUAUAAAUAAGAAGCUGCUGAAGAAUGACUGCCAAAUUCAACUUUACGGACAAAAGAGACAGACAUACUGAUAAUAGAUUCGGAGGAACAGAAUCUAUACUAUGUGAACAUACUGACUCCGGGUGUCUUCAUUUUGUCACCCAUUGUUCUUAUUGAUGCAGAAAACAAAGAGCAGGUGGUUGCGUGGUGAAUCAAUCAGCUGCAAGCCUGCGGCACAAAUCCAAUCCUCUCGUUUCCUAGAUCAUAGACCACUUCAAACGUUUGCUGCUGCACGUUGCCGAUGAUACCGAACCUACCGCCCUUAUAUCCAGUAAAAGCCAAGCAGCCAUGCAUGAGGAUCCCAGAUAUGUCGAGAUCCAUUGUGACUCCAUCGAAGAGCAGCGCUACUUUCGGGACUGUUAUGGUCUCGUAGCCGCUGAAGUCAUAACAGGUAUCGAGUACUCGCGUAGGAGGCGCAGCGGGGUACUGGGACAUGUAGCACCGGAACGCAGACCUCAGUGCUCCGUAGGCCGACGCCGGGAGGCGAGUGAUGGUAGUGCCGGAGUCGAUGAUCGUGCCACGGGACGAGAAAACCGAUGGCGAAAUGUCCAGUUGCUGCCCACCGACACUGAUUCCGAUCAGGUCAAGGAAGUAAAAGCUUGGAUGAUUGGAGCUGGUCUGCAUUCGAGUGUAAACGGUGUUGGAGGCGUCACCAGGUUCGCCCAGUUUCAGGAACCCGGUGGAGCUGGGAGUCGAAGGAAGGCAGUAGGAGAAGACCGACUGGUAAACUUGCGACGUUUGAGACACCAGAGAGCGCUUGCCGCGGCCGAGGCCC
rnacentral:lncRNA from 1 species